GGGGCCGGGCCUGGGCCUCCGGGGACAGCGCCCCCUGUGGUGGGCGCGGGGCGGCCUCCCUCGGAGCGGGGCCGCGACCGAGGACGCCCGAUUCGUGGACCUCGCAGAAAUUGAGGCUGGACGUCCAAGCGGUGAAGGAGCAAGAGGACAUCCUAGGGCUGGUGAAAACAGGAAGGUCCAGAGGGUGGUGGAUCUUCAAACGUUGUGGCAGUGGACGGAGGACCCAAGAACCCUGUGAAAUCCGGGCUGGCGAAGGAUCCUGUGUCUGCAGCAUGCAAGUAGGAUCCCCAGCCCCCCACCCCCAGCCUUCCUUGACCAAAGGGGUCCAGCGCUCCUGCUUCGGAUCUGAAGAUUUUCCAGGCAGAUGAGGUUUACCUCUUGGUUAGGCAAAUGACAAGCAGUCUCACCUUGCGGAUCAAGGAAUGGGCCACAAGAUAAACGGAGACAAACCAGACAGAGGGGACCAGAGAGCCAGUGGACAAUACAGGAGAUAACUUUAUUGAAACGCAAAUGGCAUCGAACAGAUGAAUCUUGCCGGGAGGAGACAUGCCUGAUGGAACAGAGGGCCCAGAUAAGAGGGGCCUCUGGCAGUGAUGGAGGAAGGCCUCUUCAGCUGGCCUGCCAUGGACUUCAUUGUCAACCAAUUUUUGCUUAAAACGAAUUACUGAGGGGACAACUCAACUCUCUUCAUGAUUGUUACCGCAACUAUAUACAAUGGUUUGCUUUCCAGAUUCAAAUUUGCUUUCUCUACAUUAGAUAUAAAAGGGGGUAGAUUGAAAGAGGGGGAGGGUCCAAUGAGGGAAAAAAAAAAAAACACAGACACACAC
rnacentral:lncRNA from 1 species